GCCGCCGCUACUUUUCGCAUUCUUAACAGCCGAGUUUUUCGCGUAAGUGGAAGACUUCGACACCGAUUUGCCAGCGCUUUUAGCAUCUUUUAGACUUCCGAUCGGGCUGCGCCUGGAAAUAUGGAUGGCUCCCGGCUUCACGCUCAAACUGGGGACUCCACCGAUACCACCGCGGAUCUUCGCGAGGGACCACCCGGGCACAUCCUUGGGUCUAGCCGGUGAAGGAGCACGUAACAGAGAAGAUAGACGGAGAGACUUGAAGUUCUACCAUAUUCUGAGAGACCCGAAGUGGAGAGCAAGAUGGACUGCUUGUCAGGCCUAGGGCUGGGCAGGUGUGUGUCUGUGUGUGUCAUCCAAUUACAGGCCCAGCACCUGACGGGUGGAGCGACGGCAGCUGUCAGCAAUCACCAUCACCAGCCUACAUAAGCCAGCCAGAGCUCCACCACGUCGCUGGAUCGUCUCUUUCAGUAUACUGAUCCCGCCAACGCCUCACGUCUUUUGCUACCUCUGCCCAGGCUCUCUUCACCGAAGAACAACACGGCUCUGGAACAAAUAAACCUUUUGACUCCCUACCACGCCAUCUCUUGUGCCUGC